CAGCUGCUGCUGAAUGAGUUUGCGCUUCUCGGGGUCGGCCGUCGGGCCUGCUGACCCUCCAGCCCCGGGGCCCAUGCCCACCGACGCUACCUGCUGCAUCUGAGACUGCAAGAGAAUGCCAAUGCACAUGUAGCGGCCGGAGCAGCAGCCGGCUUCGCUUCGCGGGGGUUUCUCUCUGCCAGCAGUUCUCAGACAGAGCAAGCCCAACCCAGCGGAGAGAGAGGGAGGGAGCGAGAGAGAGCGAAACGCAGACCCAGGAAGAACAGUCGAUCGAUACACGGUGAGGAAGAGAUAACUGUCGACGAGACAUGCGCCAACACCAGAUGAUGAAAAUAAUCAUCACCAGGAUAAUUAAAAAUAAAAAAACUAUUUGUACUUACUGUGGAUAAAGUCAUUAAAAAGUUGU